rnacentral:rRNA from 1 species
AUUCAGCAGCCGCGGUAAUACGGAGGGUGCAAGCAUUAAUCGGAUUUAUUGGGCGUAAAGGGCGCGUAGGUGGUAUAUCAAGUCAUAUGUGAAAUUCCAAGGCUCAACCUUGGAGCUGCAUAUGAAACUGAUAUUCUAGAGGUAAGGCGGAGAAAACGGAAUUUCCCGUGUAGCGGUGAAAUGCGUGGAUAUGGGAAGGAACACCGGUGGCGAAGGCGGUUUUCUAGCCUUUACCUGACACUGAGGCGCGAAAGCGAGGGGAGCAAACAGGAUUAGAUACCCUGGUAGUCCUCGCCGUAAACGUUGCAUACUUGAUGUGAUUGGGCUCAACCCCAAUUGUGUCGGAGCUAACGCGAUAAGUAUGCCGCCUGGGGAGUACGCUCGCAAGGGUGAAACUCAAAAGAAUUGACGGGGGCCCGCACAAGCAGUGGAGCAUGUGGUUUAAUUCGAUGCAACGCGAAGAACCUUACCCAGACUUGACAUGCAGAGUACGAUAUGAGAGAUCAUAUUUCCUUUAGGGGGCUCUGUGCAGGUGCUGCAUGGCUGUCGUCAGCUCGUGCCGUGAGGUGUUGGGUUAAGUCCCGCAACGAGCGCAACCCUUAUCGUUAGUUGCCAACAGGUAAUGCUGGGAACUCUAACGAGACUGCCUAGGUUAACUAGGAGGAAGGUGAGGAUGACGUCAAGUCAGCAUGGCCCUUAUGUCUGGGGCUACACACGUGCUACAAUGGUAGGUACAGAGGGUCGCCAAACCGUGAGGUGGAGCAAAUCCCAAAAAACCUAUCUCAGUUCGGAUUGUAGUCUGCAAUUUGACUACAUGAAGCUGGAAUUGCUAGUAAUGGCGCGUCAGCAAUAGCGCCGUGAAUACGUUCUCGGGCCUUGUACACACCGCCCGUCACAUCAUGGAAGUUGGUUUUACCCGAAGUCGCUGACUUAACCGCAAGGGAAGAAGCGCCGAAGGUGAGGCUGAUGACUGGGAUGAAGUCGUAACAAGGUAACCAAU